AUACUUACCUGGACGGAGUCAAUGGACGAUCAUCAAGGUUCAUGGCUUAGGUAAGCGAUCUCCAUUGCACUUGGGAGGGGCGCUCACCUAAGGUCUCCCCAGUCCCCCACUAUAGGAGAGACGUAGUUGGUGAGUUCGAGCUUGAAUCAAGCUUCAAUCGAGCUCGAC